rnacentral:rRNA from 1 species
GCGGGCGUCUAUCAAUGUCAAAACGACUCUCGGCAACGGAUAUCUCGGCUCUCGCAUCGAUGAAGAACGUAGCGAAAUGCGAUACUUGGUGUGAAUUGCAGAAUCCCGUGAACCAUCGAGUCUUUGAACGCAAGUUGCGCCCGAAGCCAUUAGGCUGAGGGCACGUCUGCCUGGGCGUCACGCAUCGCGUCGCCCCCCUCACCGCGCACUGCCACG